rnacentral:misc_RNA from 1 species
AAGUCGUAACAAGGUUUCCGUAGGUGAACCUGCGGAAGGAUCAUUAACGAGUUAGGGUCUUCUAGGCCCGACCUCCCAACCCAUUGUUUACUACACCCUUUGUUGCUUCGGGGAGCCCGUCCUUUACGGACCGCCGGGGGUACCGCCUCAGGUCUCCUAGCCCGCGCUUCCCGGUAGCCCCAACCUUAAAAAUUCUUAACUAAACGUGUUUUGACUGAGUACCAAUUUUUAAUUAAAAGCAAAACUUUCAACAACGGAUCUCUUGGUUCUG